rnacentral:lncRNA from 1 species
ACUGCCUUUAUGAUCCCACUAGUGACCACCAAAGAGAGGGAAUCUAAGAGAGAAAGCAGAGAAUAACUUAUUCUGCUAAACCCAACACAAAUGAAAGGUAAAUAUCUAGAAGAUAACCUGCUGGAUCAUGAGGAGAUAGAGAUUGCAUCUGACUGGGACUAAGCAACCCUCGGAAGCACCAAACCUCACCUCCCUUCUCAACACCUGACUCCGGCCUAGGGCCUUCCCACU